rnacentral:rRNA from 1 species
CCUGAACGCUGGCGGCGUGGCUAAGACAUGCAAGUCGCACGGAGCCGGGUAGCAAUACCCGGUUUAGUGGCGAACGGGUGAGUAAUGAAUCGCUAAUGUACCCCGGAUUCUGGGAUAGCCAGUCGAAAGGCUGGGUAAUACCAGAUGAUAUAACCGCUUCGCAUGAAGUGGUUCUCAAAGGAGCAAUCCGCUCUGGGAGCAGGCGAUUUCGUAUCAGCUUGNGGUGAGGUAACGGCUCACCAAGGCGACGACGCGUAGCCGGACUGAGAGGUUGGCCGGCCACAUUGGGACUGAGACACUGCCCCAGACUCCGUACGGGGGGCUGCAGUAACGAAUCUUCCGCAAUGCACGAAAGUGUGACGGAGCGACGCCGCGUGUAGGACGAACGCCCUUCGGGGUGGUAAACUAACUGUCGAGGGGUUAGAAAGUUCUGAUCCAACCCCAGAGGAAGGGACGGCUAACUCUGUGCCAGCA